rnacentral:rRNA from 1 species
AUACGGAGGAUCCGAGCGUUAUCCGGAUUUAUUGGGUUUAAAGGGUGCGCAGGCGGCCAUUUAAGUCAGCGGUUAAAUCGUGGGGCUCAACCCCAUUCUGCCGUUGAUACUGGGUGGCUUGAUUGCGGUCGAGGUUGGCGGAAUUCGUUGUGUAGCGGUGAAAUGCAUAGAUAUGACGAAGAACACCGAUUGCGUAGGCAGCUGACCAGACCGCAAAUGACGCUCAUGCACGAAAGUGCGGGGAUCGAACAGGAUUAGAUACCCUGGUAGUCCGCACAGUAAACGAUGAAUACUUGUUUUCGGCGAUAUAAUGUCGGAGGCAAAGCGAAAGCGAUAAGUAUUCCACCUGGGGAGUACGCCGGCAACGGUGAAACUCUAAGGAAUUGACGGGG